rnacentral:lncRNA from 1 species
CCUUUCUGUAAAUGCUGGACAGGACAAAAGAUUCACCAAGGACUCCAGAAGGAAAGCUCCGUAAGGCUGACCGGGAAAGAAGCGAGGAGCUCUGGGGGCUGGGUGGAAAGUCCCGUACUCAUCAGGGCCAGGGAGGCCACAGAAACUACCUCACGCCAGCUUCCCAGGGGUACAGCGGCUAGAAUGGACCUCGAGGAGGCCCCUCCCAAGACUCCCGUCUCCCGGGUUCCACCGCAGUGGGGGCAGCCACAGCUGCCUCUGCAAUGCUUGUAGGACCCACACACAGUGGGGCACGGAGGGGCAGAGGCCGCAGCCCCUUUGCCAUGAAUCCAAAGAACCUGGAGUGAUUCUGCAGAGACGUUCGAACCAGAGCGACUCCAUCUUGAACAGGGGCUGGGUAAAAUGAGGCCGAGACCGGCUGGGCCGCAUUCCCUGGAGGUCAGGCAUUCUUAGUCACAGGAUGAGAUCAGCACAAGAUACAGAUCACAAAGACCCCGCUGAUAAAACAGGAUGCCGUGAAGAAGCCGGCCCCAAACCACCAAAACCAAGACAGCCAGUCCUCACUGCUCAUUAUGUGCUGAUUAUAAUACAUUAGCAUGAGACACGCCCACCAGCACCAGGACCAUUUACAGUUGCCAUGGCAAUGCCGGGAAGUUACCCUAGAUGGUCUAAAAGGGGGAAGAACCCUCACUUCCGGGAAUUGCCUGCCCCUUUCCCGGAAAAGUCCGGAAUAAUCCACACCAUGUUUAGUACAUAUCAAGAAACAACAAUAAGUGUUCUCGUCGGAGUAGCCCAGGCCGCUGCUCAGCCUAUGGGGCAGCCCUUCUCUUAUUCCUUUACUUUCCUAUUAAACUUGCUUUC